rnacentral:rRNA from 1 species
UACGUAGGGGGCAAGCGUUGUCCCGGAUUCAUUGGGCGUAAAGAGCGUGUAGGCGGCCAGAUAAGUCCGGUGUGAAAGUCAAAGGCUCAACCUUUGAAUGCCGCUGGAAACUGCCUGGCUUGAGUCCGGAAGGGGCGAGUGGAAUUCCUGGUGUAGCGGUGAAAUGCGCAGAUAUCAGGAGGAACACCAAUGGCGAAGGCAGCUCGCUGGAACGGUACUGACGCUGAGGCGCGAAAGCGUGGGGAGCGAACAG